UGCGCAAUAAGGAAUCAUUAGCUCGAAUCCAUAAAAAAGAAAUAUUAAAAUAUUAGUGUAAGGCACAAAUUUUGUAAGGAUCAAUCAGAAAAAUCCUAACAUAAAGAUUGAUCCUAGGUGCUUUUCGUUACUGUGUUGUGGGCCCUAUGAUACGUGGCGGCUCACGAUUGAUCCCUUUUUUUUUUAAUUAAACGAAAAAAAAAAAAAAACUAAUAAAAUAAUUAAAAUUUAACAUUGGAAAUCGAGCUCUCCAGUUCCACCAUUGUAGGUGCCCUUAACGGUAUAUCUUCGUAUCAAAGAGCAUAAGUGGAUCCGCUUAAAUUUUUCAAGGUUAGAGUCUCCAAAAUAGCACAUUUCUAAGUUUAUGUCACAAAAUAGCUCUCAAACACUAAAAUGACCAAAAUAGCAUUUUAUCUUUUGAAAAAUUUAAUUUUAUUUUAUUUUUCAAAAUUUGAAAUCUUAUCCCAAAACCAUACUCCUCAACUCUAAACCCUAAACUCUAAACUCUAAACCCUAAAUCUUAAAUCCUAAACCCCACCCCUUAACUCUAAACCCUAAACUCUAGAUACCACCUCUAAACCCUAAACCCUAAACCCUAAACCCUAAACCCUAAACCCUAAACCUUAAACUCCACCCCUUAACUCUAAACCCUAAUGUCUAAAUUAAUUUACCAUUGGGGUAUAAAUUUAUAUUUAUCUCUUUUGAUAAAACAUUAAGUGUUAUUUUGGUCAUUUUUAUUCU
rnacentral:lncRNA from 1 species